CAGCAGAAGACACAAUUUCACUCACACAAUGCUUUAACACCACCAAAAACUUACCUGAAGUGUGAAUGCCACCAACAAAACAACAGGAAUAGUGAUAUACAAUGGAUAAUUAAUAACACUGGUAAAUAAUCUGUG